UGGAGGCACUUCCGGCGUGUGGAACGAGCGGAGUGGUGUACCGGGCACCGCGGGAGUUUGGUGCCUGCGGACGGGCAGCGUGAAAUAAAACGUGGAGAGGACGGUGAGGGGAACGGCAGCGGGCUGCGAUGGGGCUGAGGCGCGCGCUCUGAGGGGGUGAAUCCCAGCCUCGGCGCUAUGGCUCUCACCGGCAGGACGGUCUCGUGGUGGGUCCGGCUGCGCCGGCCCUGCCCUGUGGCCGCCCCUCGGGGCCCUCCGGUCUGGCUGCCCACGGGGCUUGAGGCCUGCCAGCGGUUCUACAGCUCCCGCGACAAGGAAAAAAUAGAUAUGUCAGCAUAUCCUGUUGAAAGCAUAAGAAACUUCAGUAUUAUAGCUCAUGUAGAUCAUGGCAAAAGCACACUAGCAGAUAGAUUGCUGGAAAUUACAGGAACAAUUGCUAAAACUGACCGUAACAAACAAGUGCUGGAUAAACUGCAAGUGGAACGUGAAAGGGGAAUUACAGUUAAAGCACAGUCUGCAUCGCUCUUUUACAAUUACAAAGGAGUAAACUACCUCUUAAAUCUUAUUGACACACCAGGCCACGUAGAUUUCAGCUAUGAAGUUUCACGGUCACUGUCUGCCUGCCAAGGUGUCCUACUUGUAGUAGAUGCAAAUGAGGGUAUUCAGGCUCAGACAGUGGCAAACUUCUACCUUGCUUUUGAAGCACAACUUGCAAUAAUUCCUGUCAUAAACAAGAUUGACUUAAAGAAUGCAGACCCUGAAAGAGUUGAAAAACAAAUUGAGAAGCUGUUUGAUAUCCCUGUUAGUGAAUGCAUAAGGAUUUCUGCUAAACAAGGGACAAAUAUUGAAAAAGUCCUUGAGAAGGUCAUUGAAAAGAUUCCACCACCUCAAUUUAAUACCACUGAUCCCUUGAAAGCCUUAGUAUUCGACUCCACCUUUGAUCACUACCGAGGUGUCAUAGCUAACAUUGCAAUUUUUGGUGGGGAGAUUGAGAAAGGGCAUAAAAUUGUGUCUGCGCAUACAAAUAAAAGAUAUGAAGUUAAUGAAGUAGGAAUUCUGACUCCAAAUGAACAGCCAACACACAAACUAUAUGCUGGACAGGUGGGCUACCUGAUUGCUGGAAUGAAAGAAGUAACAGAAGCCCAAAUAGGAGACACGCUGUUUAUGUAUAAACAGCCGGUGGAGCCUUUGCCUGGCUUUAAGUCAGCGAAGCCAAUGGUUUUUGCAGGAAUGUAUCCUGUAGAUCAAACAGAAUAUAAUAACCUUAAAAGUGCUUUGGAAAGGCUGACAUUGAACGAUUCAAGUGUCACUGUUCAUCGUGACAGUAGCCUUGCUUUAGGAGCUGGAUGGAGGUUGGGUUUUCUUGGUCUUUUGCAUAUGGAAGUUUUUAAUCAACGUUUGGAGCAAGAAUAUAACACAUCUGUUAUUUUGACUGCACCUACUGUUCCAUAUAAAGCCGUUCUUUCCUCAGCAAAAUUGAUAAAGGAGUAUCGUAAUUCAGAGAUUACUAUUAUCAACCCUGCUCAAUUUCCUGAUAAACAUUCAGUGUCUGAAUAUCUGGAGCCAACUGUUCUUGGCACUAUUGUAACACCUCAGGAAUAUAUUGGGAAAAUAAUUGUUUUGUGUCAGGAUCGUAGGGCAAUCCAGAAAGAAAUGUUGUAUAUUGAUGAACAUAGGGUUAUGCUAAAAUACCUUUUUCCAUUGAAUGAAAUCGUGGUGGAUUUUUACGAUGCCCUUAAGUCUCUGUCUUCUGGCUAUGCAAGUUUUGAUUAUGAAGAUGCAGGCUACCAGGCAGCAGAUCUUAUCAAAAUGGAUAUUCUUAUAAAUGGAAAUCCAAUUGAAGAACUGGCAACUAUCAUACACAAUGAUAAAGCAUAUGCUACUGGUAAAUUCCUGUGUGAGCGUUUAAAAGAUACCAUACCAAGACAGUUGUUUGAAAUAGCCAUCCAGGCUGCUAUUGGCAAGAAAAUAAUUGCAAGAGAAACAUUGAAAGCUUACAGGAAAAAUGUUGUGGCGAAAUGUUACGGUGGAGAUAUUACAAGAAGAAUGAAGCUUUUAAAAAGACAGGCAGAAGGGAAGAGGCUGAUGAGAAAAAUUGGCAAUGUGGAAGUACCGAGGGAUGCCUUCAUACGUGUUUUAAAGAGACAGCCUGAGAAAUAAGUUAGUGAUAUGCAGCAGAUUGUCUUAACUUCUUAGAGACAGUUCUCAUCAGGAAAUGAUGAUGUUGUUGGGAAAUCGCAACAGGAAAAACAAAUUACACAUUUCUAAGCAAGCAAGAUUGAUUCAAGUCUUUCAUACUGGUCUACUUAAGUUCAGUUUAUAUUGACAUGCUAAAAGCUGUUGGUGGACCAUACAGCCAUACUAGAAAGCCAAAACAUCAAGAACAGACAGAAGAACCCAGCUCAUUUUUGUUUUUGGAGGUAAUGACUUAACUGCAGACCUUUGUAAAUAAAUAAUUAAAAAAAAAA